ACUCUUCUUGUUCCCUCAAAGGCUUCCAGUAUUCAUGUCAUAAUUAACUUGCUUACAUGAAUGCUGGAAGUCUUUGAAAGGAACUUGAAAGCA
rfam:Cajanus cajan CcLG10_823, whole genome shotgun sequence.